GUGGGGAAUAUUGGACAAUGGGCGAAAGCCUGAUCCAGCCAUGCCGCGUGUGUGAAGAAGGUCUUCGGAUUGUAAAGCACUUUAAGUUGGGAGGAAGGGCAGUAAGUUAAUACCUUGCUGUUUUGACGUUACCGACAGAAUAAGCACCGGCUAACUUCGUGCCAGCAGCCGCGGUAAUACGACGGGUGCAAGCGUUAAUCGGAAUUACUGGGCGUAAAGCGCGCGUAGGUGGUUUUGUAAGUUGGAGGUGAAAUCCCCGGGCUCAACCUGGGAACUGCCUCCAAAGCUGCAUGACUAGAGUACGGUAGAGGGUAGUGGAAUUUCCUGUGUAGCGGUGAAAUGCGUAGAUAUAGGAAGGAUCACCAGUGGCGAAGGCGACUACCUGGACUGAUACUGACACUGAGGUGCGAAAGCGUGGGGAGCAAACAGGAUUAGAUACCCCGGUAGUCC
rnacentral:rRNA from 1 species